rnacentral:rRNA from 1 species
GAUGAACGCUGGCGGCGUGCCUAAUACAUGCAAGUCGAGCGAACGGACGAGAAGCUUGCUUCUCUGAUUUUAGCGGCGGACGGGUGAGUAACACGUGGAUAACCUACCUAUAAGACUGGGAUAACUUCGGGAAACCGGAGCUAAUACCGGAUAAUAUUUUGAACCGCAUGGUUCAAAAUUGAAAGACGUUCUUGCUGUCACUUAUAGAUGGAUCCGCGCUGCAUUAGCUAGUUGGUAAGGUAACGGCUUACCAAGGCAACGAUGCAUAGCCGACCUGAGAGGGUGAUCGGCCACACUGGAACUGAGACACGGUCCAGACUCCUACGGGAGGCAGCAGUAGGGAAUCUUCCGCAAUGGGCGAAAGCCUGACGGAGCAACGCCGCGUGAGUGAUGAAGGUCUUCGGAUCGUAAAACUCUGUUAUUAGGGAAGAACAUAUGUGUAAGUAACUGUGCACAUCUUGACGGUACCUAAUCAGAAAGCCACGGCUAACUACGUG